rnacentral:rRNA from 1 species
AACGAACGCUGGCGGCAGGCUUAACACAUGCAAGUCGAACGCAUCCUUCGGGGUGAGUGGCAGACGGGUGAGUAACGCGUGGGAACGUGCCCUUCAGUUCGGGAUAACCCAGGGUAACUUGGGCUAAUACCGGAUACGUGCGAGAGCAGAAAGAUUUAUCGCUGAGGGAUCGGCCCGGGGCUGAUUAGCUAGUUGGUGGGGUAAUGGCCCACCAAGGCGACGAGCAGUAGCUGGUCUGAGAGGAUGAUCAGCCACAUUGGGACUGAGACACGGCCCAAACUCCUACGGGAGGCAGCAGUGGGGAAGAUUGGACAAUGGGGGCAAGCCUGAUCCAGCCAUGCCGCGUGAGUGAUGAAGGCCUUAGGGUUGUAAAGCUCUUUCGUCCGGGACGAUAAUGACGGUACCGGAAGAAGAAGCCCCGGCUAACUUCGUGCCAGCAGCCGCCGUAA